rnacentral:rRNA from 1 species
CUACGGAGGGUCCAAGCGUUAUCCGGAAUCAUUGGGUUUAAAGGGUCCGCAGGCGGUCAAUUAAGUCAGAGGUGAAAGCCCAUCGCUCAACGAUGGAACUGCCUUUGAUACUGGUUGACUUGAGUUAUACGGAAGUAGAUAGAAUAAGUAGUGUAGCGGUGAAAUGCAUAGAUAUUACUUAGAAUACCGAUUGCGAAGGCAGUCUACUACGUAUAUACUGACGCUGAGGGACGAAAGCGUGGGGAGCGAACAGGAUUAGAUACCCGAGUAGUCC